GGGGCUGAUUCUGGAUUCGACGGGAUUUGCGAAACCCAAGGUGCAUGCCGAGGGGCGGUUGGCCUCGUAAAAAGCCGCAAAAAAUAGUCGCAAACGACGAAAACUACGCUUUAGCAGCUUAAUAACCAGACUAGAACACACCUCCCCUCCUUCCCUU
rnacentral:tmRNA from 1 species